UACGUAGGGGGCAAGCGUUGUCCGGAAUCAUUGGGCGUAAAGCGCGCGUAGGCGGCCCGGUAAGUCCGUUGUGAAAGUCAAAGGCUCAACCUUUGAACGCCGAUGGAUACUGCCGGGCUAGAGUCCGGAAGAGGCGAGUGGAAUUCCUGGUGUAGCGGUGGAAUGCGCAGAUAUCAGGAGGAACACCAAUAGCGAAGGCAGCUCGCUGGGACGGUACUGACGCUGAGGCGCGAAAGCGUGGGGAGCGAACAGG
rnacentral:rRNA from 1 species